GACCUUCCUAGUAACUUGCCAGGACUUAUCCUCACAUCUGAACAUUGUAAUGAAGGUGUACAGCUUCCUCUGUCAUCUCUGUCCCAGGAUAGCAAACUUGUGUAUAUUCAGCUGUUAUGGGAUAAUAUCAACCUUCAUCAGGAACCAAGAGAACCUCUGUAUGUCUCAUGGAGGAAUUUUAAUUCUGAAAAGAAAUCAUCUCUCCUGUCAGAGGAACAACAAGAAACAAGCACUUUAGUAGAAACCAUCAGGCAGAGUAUUCAGCACAAUAAUGUUCUUAAACCCAUCAACCUACUUUCACAGCAAAUGAAGCCAGGCAUGAAAAGACAAAGGUAAUAAUCCAGUAUUUUUUGCUUGCCACCACUCAGUCAUUUCAUGUUUUUAAAAAAAUAUCUUACUUUUAAAAAUAUCUCUAGUUGUCGAAGAAACACAUACUCAUUGCAAAACAUCUAUUGUUUUAAGUGCUACACAGAUAUAUACAUUCCUACUUGAACACAAACACAUAAUAAAAGUGUCUGGGGGCUUGGCACGGUGGCUCACACCUGUAAUCCCAGCACUUUGGGUGGCCAAAGCAGGAGGAUUGCUUGCUUGAGCUCAGGAGUUUGAGACUGGACUGAGCAACAUAGCAAGACCCCAUCUCUACAAAAAAUAAUUUGUCAGGGGUGGUAUGUGCCUGUGACCUCAGCUACUUGAGAGGGUAAGACAGGAGGAUUUCUUGAGCCCAGGAGGUCCAGGUUACAGUCAGCUGUGAUCACACCGCUGCACUGCCACCUGGGUGACAACAGCAAAACCCUGUCUC
rnacentral:lncRNA from 1 species